UGGGGAAUUUUGGACAAUGGGCGAAAGCCUGAUCCAGCAAUGCCGCGUGUGUGAAGAAGGCCUUCGGGUUGUAAAGCACUUUUGUCCGGAAAGAAAUCCUUGGCUCUAAUACAGUCGGGGGAUGACGGUACCGGAAGAAUAAGCACCGGCUAACUACGUGCCAGCAGCCGCGGUAAUACGUAGGGUGCAAGCGUUAAUCGGAAUUACUGGGCGUAAAGCGUGCGCAGGCGGUUUGCUAAGACCGAUGUGAAAUCCCCGGGCUCAACCUGGGAACCGCAUUGGUGACUGGCAGGCUAGAGUAUGGCAGAGGGGGGUAGAAUUCCACGNGUAGCAGUGAAAUGCGUAGAGAUGUGGAGGAAUACCGAUGGCGAAGGCAGCCCCCUGGGCCAAUACUGACGCUCAUGCACGAAAGCGUGGGGAGCAAACAGGAUUAGAUACCCUGGAUAGUCCACGCCCUAAACGAUGUCAACNAGUUGUUGGGAUUCAUUUCCUUAGUAACGUAGCUAACGCGUGAAGUUGACCGCCU
rnacentral:rRNA from 1 species